CCCAGCUGCUGAUCAUCAUGUCAAUCUGCAAGCAGAGCUGAGUGUGAUCACUCUCUAAUCCCUUCCAUCCAAAAUGAACCUGUUAAGCAAAGACCUACACUUUAAAUGGCUUGAAGCGACAUGGCACACAGAAUUUGUUCCCCAGGAUAUGUCAGAUGUCUGAGCAACUCUGUAGAAAGUUCUGAGCAAGAAGCUAAAAUGAAGACGAGCAGAGACUGUGAAAUUGACUUUGAGCCAAUAUGGAUUAGCAUCUUUAUUAUUGGGCUGGAUGAUGUGACAAUGGUGCACCCUCAGUGAGUUUGCAGAUCACACUGAGACUGUCUGGAAAGUAGCUUUGCAGAAAAAACGUGGGCUUCCUGGUGGAUACCAAGUUGAACGUGAGCCAGCGAUGUGCUCCUGCUGGGGG